GACCGCAUUCGCUCCGACGUAGACAUUUCAUUAUUCAGCUCUGGAAAUGGCUUUCUCAUUUUUCUACGAAACUGGUAAGCAGCAGUAGGUAUUGUCUGGUCAUGCGCUAACUGGUUCACGUGCGCCUGGUGAAAACUACUUUGAAGGAUUCCCUGAAAUAUACGGACUGUAAUGCUUUAGCUGAGAAAUGGGUUUAACGACACUGUUGAUCCAGCGAUCUGGACUUCGCCUUCUUGUUCGUAAUGUUAAGGUUCGUUUUUUCGCGUCUGGGGUAACGGUGAGUGCCCAUAACUUUAAUAUAAUUUGAGGUACACAACCUCCUCGGUGAAUGUAAACAGUUUUUAACUAAAUGAAAUUUCCACCGAUGUUAAUUUUUGUCCACCUCUUCUACCUUGUCUUUUAUUCCCAUGUGAAUAGUGAUAUUAUCCUGUUACUUUUAAGAAUGUAGCUGGGGGGGAGGUCCCUGGGUGCCUGUGAACUCCCCCCCCCCACCUCUGUAAGCCUCUUUUUGUCACACUGAGU